rnacentral:tRNA from 1 species
CAAAAAGUAGUUUAAUAAAAAUAUUAAUUUUGGAGAUUAAAGAUAAAUUUAAUUUUUUUUUGA